GAUGAACGCUGGCGGUAUGCUUAACACAUGCAAGUCGAACGGACUCUUCGGAGUUAGUGGCGGACGGGUGAGUAACGCGUGAGAAUCUGGCUUUGGGUUCGGGACAACCACUGGAAACGGUGGCUAAUACCGGAUGUGCCGAGAGGUAAAAGAGAAAUUGCCUGAAGAUGAGCUCGCGUCUGAUUAGCUAGUUGGUGAGGUAAAGGCUCACCAAGGCAGCGAUCAGUAGCUGGUCUGAGAGGAUGACCAGCCACACUGGGACUGAGACACGGCCCAGAGUCUUCAGGGAGAGAGAAGAAGGGAAUUUCCCGCAAUGGGGAGAGGCUUGACGAGGCAAUACGGGAGGAGAAAAGAGGGAUCUUGGAUGUAAAACCUCUUUACUAAGGGAAGAACAAAUUGCCGUAACUUAGGGAAGAAGCACCGCUAACUCCGUG
rnacentral:rRNA from 1 species